rnacentral:rRNA from 1 species
AUGAAGGUGCCUCGCUGGCCCACCGCAUUUCAUGGCUUGUGUACUCUUCACUGGUCAAUAUUGAUUCGUAUCUUCACGUUUAUGAGUGGUAAAAGCUAUAUAUACUUUCGGUGUCGUAGGUUCUCGUCGGUUGCACGCCUCCUAAAAAUAAACCAGCACAUUCCAUAUAAUGGAACCAGGGUACCGUAUCAUGUUGUGCUGAGUUGGUGGGAGGUGUCCGUUUCAUGGUGUACAUCUCUCCUUGCAAGUCCCUGUUUCAGUCUGGAUGGUUGUCUUAUGAAAAGCAAAUCACUCUUCUAG